GGCAGCUACACUCUGUUUACUCAUAGACCAAAUGCAAUCUACCCAGGAAAUGAGAAAAAAAAAAGAUCAAUUUAGCUCAACAGAAGGAUGUGAGCGACAUGAAGUGCCUUAACGAGCUGAUACACAGGGGAACAAUCUGCGUCCGGACACAAGCAGAAGUAAUCCCCCUCCCCAUCGCAGGGGAUGCUACCCUCUCCCUGCCAUUCUCACCCCCCGGCACCACUGCAGCUCCAGGAAAGAGCCUGGGAAAAUAAGCAGCCCUUGCAGCAUGCCCUCAAGGUCACUGCAUUGACCUUGAAAAGCCUUUCAGAGGUUGCCUCUAACGGCCUAAAUUAGAAAACUGCCAAUGACACUUGGAGCCAAGAACAAGCAAGAACAGCC
rnacentral:lncRNA from 1 species